rnacentral:rRNA from 1 species
CAACAUGAUCCCUUCGGGGUGAUUGUUGUGGAUCGAGCGGCGGACGGGUGAGUAACACGUGGGUAACCUACCUGCGAGAUCGGGAUAACCCCGGGAAACCGGGGCUAAUACCGAAUAAUCGUUGGAACCGCAUGGUUCCAGCGUAAAAGGCGGCUUUUGCCGUCACUUGCAGAUGGACCCGCGGCGCAUUAGCUAGUUGGUAAGGUAACGGCUUACCAAGGCGACGAUGCGUAGCCGACCUGAGAGGGUGAUCGGCCACACUGGGACUGAGACACGGCCCAGACUCCUACGGGAGGCAGCAGUAGGGAAUCUUCCGCAAUGGACGAAAGUCUGACGGAGCAACGCCGCGUGAACGAUGAAGGUCUUCGGAUCGUAAAGUUCUGUUGUUAGGGAAGAACAAGUGCCAGAGGAAAUGCUGGCGCCUUGACGGUACCUAACCAGAAAGCCACGGCUAACUACGUGCCAGCAGCCGCGGUAAUACGUAGGUGGCAAGCGUUGUCCGGAAUUAUUGGGCGUAAAGCGCGCGCAGGCGGUUCCUUAAGUCUGAUGUGAAAGCCCACAGCUCAACUGUGGAGGGCCAUUGGAAACUGGGGAACUUGAGUACAGAAGAGGAGAGCGGAAUUCCACGUGUAGCGGUGAAAUGCGUAGAUAUGUGGAGGAACACCAGUGGCGAAGGCGGCUCUCUGGUCUGUAACUGACGCUGAGGCGCGAAAGCGUGGGUAGCAAACAGGAUUAGAUACCCUGGUAGUCCACGCCGUAAACGUUGAGUGCUAGUGUUAGGGGGUUUCCGCCCCUUAGUGCUGAAGUUAACGCAUUAAGCACUCCGCCUGGGGAGUACGGCCGCAAGGCUGA